rnacentral:rRNA from 1 species
UACAGAGGUCUCAAGCGCUGUUCGGAUUCAUUGGGCGUAAAGGGUGCGUAGGUGGCGCGGUAAGUCGGGUGUGAAAUUUCGGAGCUUAACUCCGAAACUGCAUUCGAUACUGCCGUGCUUGAGGACUGGAGAGGAGACUGGAAUUUACGGUGUAGCAGUGAAAUGCGUAGAGAUCGUAAGGAAGACCAGUGGCGAAGGCGGGUCUCUGGACAGUUCCUGACACUGAGGCACGAAGGCCAGGGGAGCAAACGGG